UUCUUCUUACCUAUAAACGGAAUCCCUUCACAUUCAAUUCAGAAUCUUUCAAAUAAUGUACUCCACUGCGUACGUACGUAGAUAUUGCCGUAGAUAUUUAAAAAUUUCCACAUUGAAAUUUCCUAAUAAGAGAGCAAUUAGCUUUCGCCCGUACUUAAUUUAGUUCGCGACGUUCACGACGCCCUCUACAAUCGAAUCGUUUGGCGGGAGUAUCGAAGAAAUUUCGAUAAUCGCUGGACGAAAUUCGUUACGUAGCUAAUGAAGUCGAAGUGGAGCUAAGUCAUACAGCAGCAAAUUUUCGCGGAGGUUGGACACAAAUUUUCGAGGAUUUCGCCUCUGAAUGCAGAUUUGUGCCAGUACGCUACGUACACAAAGGCAGUUUGGCAUGCGGCGGUGAGCGACAAUCCUACAUCGAAGUGUGUUUGCCGAUUGUCAUCGGUGGGAUGGAGAGAUACGUCCGUUACCAGUAACGUUGCAGCGAGUUUCGAUCGUGAAACUAACCUUUAUGCCGACCAUCGAUACUAAACGUUCAAAUUAAAUGAGGAAGAUAUUAACCAAUAAAUUCAUGCUGUACAAAAUAAGAAGAACAUAUUACGACCGAAUGCUCUGCUGAAUAUGGUAAUGUAAAUCGUCAUUUUAAUUUCUUGCGUAAAUUUCGAUCUGUUAACGAAACGAUACGAUGAUGAUUUUUAAAAACGAACACGUAUAUAAUUAAAGAACGAUAUGUA